CAAGCUGUGAAAAAAGCAAAUGAAGGCCUCCUCACUCUCAGCCAGGAGGAAACCAUGCCCAUCUCCAUACGGCAGCUGGCCUACGUGUCCGGCCUGGGCUUCGGCUUCAUGAGCGGAGCGUUCUCCGUGGUGAACAUCCUGGCAGACUCUGUGGGGCCGGGGACCAUCGGGAUCCACGGGGACUCUCAGCACUACUUCCUGUCCUCAGGUACCAAAGCUCACAAACAGCUUUAGCUGUUGGAUCGUUCCAGAUGGAAUCGCUACAAUGUGUACUUUGAUUUUUAAAUCCAUUUCUGUUAGCCUUUUACAGUCAAUAUCUUACAUUAAGAUGAUGUUCUAGCUCAGGGGUUCCCAAACU